rnacentral:tRNA from 1 species
AGGCCCAAGAGCUUGGGUCACUCUGACUCUUAAUCAGCGGGUCCCAGGUUCGAGCCCUGGUGCGCCCACCA